CGAGGGUGCAAGCGUUAAUCGGAGUUACUGGGCGUAAAGGGCACGUAGGCUGAUAUUUUAGUCGGGUGUGAAAUCCCUGGGCUCAACCUAGGAAUUGCAUUCGAUACUGAAUGUCUAGAGUAUGGUAGAGGAAAGUGGAAUUCUCGGUGUAGUGGUUAAAUACGUAGAUAUCGAGAAGAACAUCGGUGGCGAAGGCGACUUUCUGGGCCAAUACUGACGCUGAGGCGCGAAAGCGUGGGGAGCAAACAGGAUUAGAUACCCGAGUAGUCC
rnacentral:rRNA from 1 species